GACGAACGCUGGCGGCGUGCUUAACACAUGCAAGUCGAACGGUGAAGCGCCUUCCUUUUUGGUGGGUGUGGAUGAGUGGCGAACGGGUGAGUAACACGUGAGUAACCUGCCCCCUCCUUCUGGAUAACCGCAUGAAAGUGUGGCUAAUACGGGAUAUUCUGGGUCUGUCGCAUGAUGGGUCUGGGAAAGAUAUUGUUUCGGUGGGGGAUGGGCUCGCGGCCUAUCAGCUUGUUGGUGGGGUGAUGGCCUACCAAGGCGGUGACGGGUAGCCGGCCUGAGAGGGUCGGCGAUCAUAGUAGGGCUGAGACACGGCCAAGACUCCUAGGGGAAGCAGCAGUGGAGAAUAUUGCACGAUGGGCGGAAGGCUGAUGCAGCGACGCCGCGUGGGGGAUGGAGGCCUGCGGGUUGUGAACCUCUUUCGGGAGUGAAGCAGGGCUGCCUCGUUUGUGGGUGGGUUGACGGUAGCUGGAUAAGAAGCGCCGGCUAACUACGUG
rnacentral:rRNA from 1 species